GGUAAAUCUAGAGCUAAUACAUGCAUAAAAACCUUUUUGUUUUAACAAAUUGGUUAAAUUAUCGUUUCAAAACUAACGGGUUCGCCCUGUUUUGUUAACUCAUGAUAAUUAAUGACCGUUCUUUAAUGAAUGGAUAUUCAUAUUUGGUAUCUGCCCUAUCAACUAUAUGACAGUCUAUUGUACGGUCAUGGUUGUGCCGGGUAACGGAGAAUUAGGGUUCGUCUCCGGAGAGAAUGCCUUAGAAACGGCUUUCACUUCCAAGGAAGGCAGCAGGCGCGAAAAUUACCCAUUCUCAGAACGAGGAGGUAGUGACGUGAAAUGACAAGCUUUAAUUCUUACGAAUUGAAGCAUUGGAAUGGUUGAAUUUUAAAAUCAUUCAAGAUUAUCAAUGAGAGGGCAA
rnacentral:rRNA from 1 species